AUGCAUGUCUCAGUACAAACCACUUGUUGGUGAAACCGCGAACGGCUCAUUAUAACAGCUAUAAUUUAUUUGAUUUUGAUAUCCUACAUGGAUAACUGAGGAAAAUCUUGAGCUAAUACAUGCACCAAAGCUCCGACUAACGACGAGCGCAUUUAUUAGAUCAAAACCAAACGGGCUUGCCCGGGUUUUGGUGACUCUGAAUAACUCUGCUGAUCGCAUGGUCUAGUACCGGCGACGGUUCUUUCAAGUUUCUGCCUUAUCAACUUUCGAUGGUAGUUUAUGUGACUACCAUGGUGACCACGGGUAACGGAGGAUAAGGGUUUGACUCCGGAGAGGGAGCCUGAGAAACGGCUACCACAUCCAAGGAAGGCAGCAGGCGCGCAAAUUAUCCACUCUCGGUACGAGGAGAUAGUGACGAAAAAUAACGAGAAUGUCUUCUAUGAGGCCAUUCAUCGGAAUGAGUACAAUUCAAAUCCUUUAACGAGGAUCUAUGAGAGGGCAAGUCUGGUGCCAGCAGCCGCGGUAAUUCCAGCUCUCAAAGUGUAUAUCGUUAUUGCUGCGGUUAAAAAGCUCGUAGUUGGAUCUGCGCUUCUGGACUCGGUCCACCCUCCGGGUGCGUACUGGGCUCCAAAGCCUACACUGUCGGACUGCCCUUGCUAGCUUUACUGUUGGCAUUGGUGUCUGACAAGUUUACUUUGAAAAAAUUAGAGUGCUCAAAACAGGCGUUUGCUUGAAUAUUUCUGCAUGGAAUAAUAGAAAAGGACCGACGUUCUAUUUCGUUGGUUUUCUGAAUGGCGGUAAUGGUUAAGAGGAACAGACGGGGGCAUUCGUAUUGCUACGUGAGAGGUGAAAUUCUUGGACCGUAGCAGGACGCCCUACUGCGAAGGCAUUUGCCAAGAAUGUUUUCAUUAAUCAAGAACGAAAGUCAGAGGUUCGAAGGCGAUCAGAUACCGCCCUAGUUCUGACCGUAAACGAUGCCAACUAGCGAUCCGCCAGCGGUAACUACGCCCUGGCGGGGAGCUUCCCGGAAACGAAAGUCUUCCGGUUCCGGGGGAAGUAUGGUUGCAAAGCUGAAACUUAAAGGAAUUGACGGAAGGGCACCACCAGGAGUGGAGCCUGCGGCUUAAUUUGACUCAACACGGGAAAACUCACCCGGCCCGGACACUGUAAGGAUUGACAGAUUGAAAGCUCUUUCUUGAUUCGGUGGUUGGUGGUGCAUGGCCGUUCUUAGUUGGUGGAGUGAUUUGUCUGGUUUAUUCCGAUAACGAGCGAGACUCUAGCUUAUUAAAUAGAUGCCGGAUAAUUUUGUCGGGACAGACUUCUUAGAAGGAUAAGCGGUGUUUAGCCGCACGAGAUUGAGCAAUAACAGGUCUGUGAUGCCCUUAGAUGUCCGGGGCUGCACGCGCGCUACAUUGGAAGAAUCAGCGUGUCUAUCCUAAUCUGAAAGGAUUUGGUAAACCCUUGAAAAUCUUUCGUAAUUGGGAUAGGGAAUUGUAAUUAUUUCCCUUGAACGAGGAAUUCCUAGUAAGUGUGWAUCAUCAGCUCACGUUGAUUACGUCCCUGCCCUUUGUACACACCGCCCGUCGCUGCCCGGAACUGAGCCGUUUCGAGAAACGCGGGGACUGCUGAUUUGAGACGUUAAACUCUCGUUUUGGUGGAAACCGCCUUAAUCGCAAUGGCUUGAACCGGGCAAAAGUCGUAACAAGGUGCGA
rnacentral:rRNA from 1 species